rnacentral:rRNA from 1 species
UUAGAGUUUGAUCCUGGCUCAGGAUGAACGCUAGCGGCAGGCUUAACACAUGCAAGUCGAGGGGCAGCGAGAUCAGUGCUUGCACUGGUUGUCGGCGACCGGCGCACGGGUGCGUAACGCGUAUGCAACCUACCCAUUACAGGGGGAUAACACUGAGAAAUCGGUACUAAUACCCCAUAACAUCCAGGGAGGCAUCUUCUUGGGUUGAAAACUCCGGUGGUAAUGGAUGGGCAUGCGUUGUAUUAGUUAGUUGGUGGGGUAACGGCUCACCAAGACAACGAUACAUAGGGGGACUGAGAGGUUAACCCCCCACAUUGGUACUGAGACACGGACCAAACUCCUACGGGAGGCAGCAGUGAGGAAUAUUGGUCAAUGGACGCAAGUCUGAACCAGCCAUGCCGCGUGCAGGAAGACGGCUCUAUGAGUUGUAAACUGCUUUUGUACGAGGGUAAACGCAGAUACGCGUAUCUGUCUGAAAGUAUCGUACGAAUAAGGAUCGGCUAACUCCGUGCCAGCAGCCGCGGUAAUACGGAGGAUUCAAGCGUUAUCCGGAUUUAUUGGGUUUAAAGGGUGCGUAGGCGGUCGGAUAAGUUAGAGGUGAAAUCCCGGGGCUCAACUUCGGAAUUGCCUCUGAUACUGUUCGGCUAGAGAGUAGUUGCGGUAGGCGGAAUGUAUGGUGUAGCGGUGAAAUGCUUAGAGAUCAUACAGAACACCGAUUGCGAAGGCAGCUUACCAAGCUACUUCUGACGUUGAGGCACGAAAGCGUGGGGAGCAAACAGGAUUAGAUACCCUGGUAGUCCACGCAGU